AUGAUGGUGGAGAUGGUGUCCCCACUCUUUGGAACCAUCUAUGAUGCUGUUGUCCUGCUGGCCCAUGCCCUGAACAGCUCUGAGAGCUGUGGGGCAGGAUUCUCAGGGACCCACUUAGGGGAACACACAGGGUCUCUGUAUGUGGCUGGCUUUAGCCAGAGGAUCCGGACAGAUGAGAAGGGCAGGAGGCUGGCUCCGUAUGUCAUUUUGGACACAGAUGGUCAGGGAAGCCAGCUGGUCCGCACUCACAUCCUGGACACAGGCACAUGGCAAGUGCAGCCCCUGGGCAGGGCCAUACACUUUCCAGGAGGAGCCCCUCCGGUGUGUGACUCCAGCUGCUGGUUUGACCCUAAUACUCUCUGCAUGAGAGGUAAGCAGCCCCCAGGCGGCCUCCUCGUUCUGGCCCUGACCUGUGUCUUGGUGCUGAUGGGGGGAGUGAUAUUUGCACCAUCCUCUCUGUCCUGCACUUUUCUCACCUCCAGAUUGAGCAUCCAGCAGCUGCAGCUCGUGCGGGGCCCCUACUGGAUCCUGCUGACAGCCCAGGAGCUCACCUUCAUCCACCGGCCCCUGAGCAGAUGGGGUCUUGACCAUGCCCUCUGGAGGCUGCGCAUGGACAGUGCAAGUGAAUCAAGAAGUGUCGCAGAUGGCGGGAGCCUGAGGUCAGUGGCCCAGGGGUCAGCAAGGAGCCUGCCAGCCCCCCAGGAGCCCACCAGUGUGGCUCUGUACCAGGGAGAGUGGGUGUGGCUGAAGAAAUUUGAAGCUGGCACAGCCCCUGAGCUGCGGCCAGGCUGCCUCAGCCUCCUGAGAAAGAUGCAGGAGCUUCAGCAUGAGAACAUUGCCACCUUCCUGGGCUUCUUGUGGCCCCUGGGGUCAGUGCUCUUGUGUUGGAGCACUGUGCCCGGGGCAGCCUGGAGGACCUGCUGCGGAAUGAGGCUCUGCGGCUGGACUGGACUUUCAAGGCCUCCUUGGUGCUGGAUAUGAUCCGUGGUGUGUGGUAUCUACACCAUCGGCAUUUCCCUCAUGGCUGCCUCAAGUCCCGAAACUGUGUGGUGGCUGGACGCUUUGUGCUAAAGGUCACUGACCAGGGUUAUGCAGAGCUCCUGGAUGCUCAGCGGGCUCCCCGCCCCCGGCCAGCCCCGGAAGUGCUGCUGUGGACAGCUCUGGAGCUGCUGCGGGGGCCCGGGGAACCCGGGCGGGGCACCCUCAAAGGAGACACCUUCAGAUCGGCAUCAUCCUGCAGGAGGUGCUGACUUGGGGCCCGCACUAUGGUUCCCCAGGGCUCUCAGCGCAAGAAAUCAUCAGGGAGGUGGUGUCUCCUCCUCCCCUGCGCCGGCCACUGGUGUCUCCCGACCACGGGCCGCCUGAGUGCAUCCAGCGGAUGGAGCUGUGCUGGGAGGAGGCCCCGGAGGACAGACCCAACCUGGAUCAGAUCUACACCCAGUUCAAAAGCAUCAACCCAGGCAAGAAGACCAGUGUUGCUGAUUCUAUGCUGCAGUUGCUGGAGAAGUAUUCCCAGAACCUGGAGGACCUGAUCCAGGAGUGGACUGAGGAGCUGGGGUUGGAGAGACAGAAGAUGGAAAGGUUGCUCUCUCAGUUGCUCCUGCCGUCUGUGGCUGAAGCUCUGAAAAUGGGGGCGACUGUGGAGCCAGAGCACUUUGACCAGGUUACCAUAUACUUCAGUGACACUGUAGGCUUUACCACCAUCUCAGCCCUGAGUGAGCCCAUUGAGGUGGUGGGCUUGCUCAAUGACCUCUACACACUCUUUGAUGCUGUUCUGGGCAACCAUGACGUGUAUAAGGUGGAGACCAUUGGGGAUGCCUAAAUGGUGGCAACAGGGCUGCCCCGGCGCAACAGGAGCCAGCAUGCAGCUGAGAUCACCAACCUGGCCUUGGACAUCUUCAGCUCUGUGAGCGACUUCCGGAUGAGGCAUGUGCCCACUGUGCCCAUUCGCAUCAGGGCUGGACUGCACUCGGGCCCUGAAUGGCGGGGGGUUGUGGGUCUCACCAUGCCUCAGUACUGCCUCUCUGGGGACACAGUUAACACCGCAUCCCGGAUGGAGUCUACAGGGAUAUAUGAGUCAUACAGAAUUCAUGUCUGCAUAAGCACCGCCCAGACACUGCUCAGCCUGGAUGAAGGCUACAAAAUUGAUAUCAGAGGCCAGACUGAGGUAAAGGGGAGGGGCUUCAAGGAGACCUACUGGCUGGUGGGGAAGGCGGGCUUCCCCAGACCCCUCCCCACACCUCUGGACAUCAAACCACGGUGCGGCGGCGCCGACAGCGGGGGAAAUCGGGGCCAGGCCCGGGGGAAAUCGGGGCCAGGCCGGAUUUCCUCUGCGGACCCGCGGCUGCUAGAGCCACCCGCCCCCCUGGACCCCGCGGGGCCACGAACUGCACGUGCGGCGGCCCGGCGCGGCCUGGCUGGCACAGCGCUUCCUUAG